rnacentral:ncRNA from 1 species
UAUUCGUCUUCACGAGGAAUUCCUAGUAAAUGCAAGUCAUCAGCUUGCGUUGAUUACGUCCCUGCCCUUUGUACACACCGCCCGUCGCUCCUACCGAUUGAGUGAUCCGGUGAGCUGUCCGGACUGCGAUUAGUUCAGUUUCUGUUCUCUUCGCGGGAAGUUCUGCAAACCUUAUCACUUAGAGGAAGGAGAAGUCGUAACAAGGUUUCCGUAGGUGAACCUGCGGAAGGAUCAUUC